rnacentral:rRNA from 1 species
GACGAACGCUGGCGGCGUGCUUAACACAUGCAAGUCGAACGGAACGGCCCUGCUUUUGUGGGGUGCUCGAGUGGCGAACGGGUGAGUAACACGUGAGUAACCUGCUCUUGACUUUGGGAUAAAUUCAGGAAACUGGGGCUAAUACAGGAUAGGAGCUCCCGUUGCAUGGUGGGGGUUGGAAAGUUUCGGCGGAAGGGGAUGGACUCGCGGCUUAUCAGCUUGUUGGUGGGGUAGUGGCUUACCAAGGCUUUGACGGGUAGCCGGCCUGAGAGAGUGACCGGCCACAUUGGGACUGAGAGACGGCCCAGACUCCUACGGGAGGCAGCAGUGGGGAAUAUUGCACAAUGGGCGGAAGCCUGAUGCAGCAACGCCGCGGGCGGGAUGACGGCGUUCGGGUUGUAAACCGCUUUCAGCAGGGACGAAGCGUUCUGUGACGGUACCUACAGAAGAAGCACCGGCUAACUACGUG